rnacentral:rRNA from 1 species
UUAAAUUGAAGAGUUUGAUCAUGGCUCAGAUUGAACGCUGGCGGCAGGCCUAACACAUGCAAGUCGAACGGUAACAGGAAGCAGCUUGCUGCUUCGCUGACGAGUGGCGGACGGGUGAGUAAUGUCUGGGAAACUGCCUGAUGGAGGGGGAUAACUACUGGAAACGGUAGCUAAUACCGCAUAACGUCGCAAGACCAAAGAGGGGGACCUUCGGGCCUCUUGCCAUCGGAUGUGCCCAGAUGGGAUUAGCUUGUUGGUGGGGUAACGGCUCACCAAGGCGACGAUCCCUAGCUGGUCUGAGAGGAUGACCAGCCACACUGGAACUGAGACACGGUCCAGACUCCUACGGGAGGCAGCAGUGGGGAAUAUUGCACAAUGGGCGCAAGCCUGAUGCAGCC